ACUCCGGGAAACCGGAGCUAAUACCGGAUAGUUCCUUGAACCGCAUGGUUCAAGGAUGAAAGACGGUUUCGGCUGUCACUUGCAGAUGGACCCGCGGCGCAUUAGCUAGUUGGUGGGGUAAUGGCUCACCAAGGCGACGAUGCGUAGCCGACCUGAGAGGGUGAUCGGCCACACUGGGACUGAGACACGGCCCAGACUCCUACGGGAGGCAGCAGUAGGGAAUCUUCCGCAAUGGACGAAAGUCUGACGGAGCAACGCCGCGUGAGUGAUGAAGGUUUUCGGAUCGUAAAGCUCUGUUGUUAGGGAAGAACAAGUGCGAGAGUAACUGCUCGCACCUUGACGGUACCUAACCAGAAAGCCACGGCUAACUACGUGCCAGCAGCCGCGGUAAUACGUAGGUGGCAAGCGUUGUCCGGAAUUAUUGGGCGUAAAGGGCUCGCAGGCGGUUUCUUAAGUCUGAUGUGAAAGCCCCCGGCUCAACCGGGGAGGGUCAUUGGAAACUGGGAAACUUGAGUGCAGAAGAGGAGAGUGGAAUUCCACGUGUAGCGGUGAAAUGCGUAGAGAUGUGGAGGAACACCAGUGGCGAAGGCGACUCUCUGGUCUGUAACUGACGCUGAGGAGCGAAAGCGUGGGGAGCGAACAGGAUUAGAUACCCUGGUAGUCCACGCCGUAAACGAUGAGUGCUAAGUGUUAGGGGGUUUCCGCCCCUUAGUGCUGCAGCUAACGCAUUAAGCACUCCGCCUGGGGAGUACGGUCGCAAGACUGAAACUCAAAGGAAUUGACGGGGGCCCGCACAAGCGGUGGAGCAUGUGGUUUAAUUCGAAGCAACGCGAAGAACCUUACCAGGUCUUGACAUCCUCUGACAACCCUAGAGAUAGGGCUUUCCCUUCGGGGACAGAGUGACAGGUGGUGCAUGGUUGUCGUCAGCUCGUGUCGUGAGAUGUUGGGUUAAGUCCCGCAACGAGCGCAACCCUUGAUCUUAGUUGCCAGCAUUCAGUUGGGCACUCUAAGGUGACUGCCGGUGACAAACCGGAGGAAGGUGGGGAUGACGUCAAAUCAUCAUGCCCCUUAUGACCUGGGCUACACACGUGCUACAAUGGACAGAACAAAG
rnacentral:rRNA from 1 species